rnacentral:rRNA from 1 species
GACGAACGCUGGCGGCGUGCCUAAUACAUGCAAGUCGAGCGAAGCGGCGGAUGGGUGAGUAACGCGUGGGUAACCUGCACUUAAGUCUGGGAUACCAUUUGGAAACAGAUGCUAAUACCGGAUACUUAAGGAUGGACCUGCGAUGCAUUAGCUAGUUGGUAAGGUAACGGCUUACCAAGGCGAUGAUGCAUAGCCGAGUGGAGAGGCUGAGCAGCCACAUUGGGACUGAGACACGGCCCAAACUCCUACGGGAGGCAGCAGUAGGGAAUCUUACACAAUGGACGAAAGUCUGAUGCAGCCACGCCGAGUGUGUGAAGAAGGUUUUCGGAUCGUAAAGCUCUGUUGUUGGUGAAGCGGUAAUCAACCAGAAAGUAACGGCUAACUACGUGCCAGCAGCCGCGGUAAUAC